rnacentral:rRNA from 1 species
UGAAAUCUCUAAUCCCGGAAGGACGACCGGUGGCGAAAGCGUUUCGCUAGAACGAAUCCGACGGUGAGGGACGAAGGCUAGGGGAGCAAACCGGAUUAGAUACCCGGGUAGUCCUAGCUGUAAACGCUGCACACUUGGUGUUGCCCCUUCUUUGGGAAGGGGCAGUGCCGGAGCGAAGGUGUUAAGUGUGCCGCUUGGGGAGUAUGGUCGCAAGGCUGAAACUUAAAGGAAUUGGCGGGAGAGCACCGCAACGGGAGGAGCGUGCGGUUUAAUUGGAUUCAACGCCGGAAAACUCACUAGGGAAGACCAUGGUAUGAGGGUCAACUUGAAGAAUUUACUCGAUUACAUGGAGAAGUGGUGCAUGGCCGUCGUCAGCUCGUACCGUAAAGCGUUCACUUAAGUGUGACAACGAGCGAGACCC